rnacentral:rRNA from 1 species
AUUGAACGCUGGCGGCAGGCCUAACACAUGCAAGUCGAACGAGUGGCGGACGGGUGAGUAAUUUCUGGGAAAAUGCCUGAUGGCGAGGGAUAACUACUGGAAACGGUAGCUAAUACCGCAUACCAUCGGAUGUGCCACGAUGGGAUUAGCUAGUAGGAUGGGUAACGGCUCACCUAGGCGACGAUCCCUAGCUGGUCUGAGAGGAUGACCAGACACAGUGGGAUUGGGACACGGGCCAGACUCCUACGGGAGGCAGCAGUGGGGAAUAUUGCACAAUGGGCGCAAGCCUGAUGCAGCCAUGCCGCGUGUGUGAAGAAGGCCUUCGGUUUGUAAAGUACUUUCAGCGGGGAGGCGUUACCCGCAGAAGAAGCACCGGCUAACUCCGUGCCAGCAGCCGCGGUAAUAC